UACGUAGGGACCGAGCGUUGUCCGGAAUCAUUGGGCGUAAAGAGCGUGUAGGCGGCCACUUAAGUCCUGCGUGAAAUCUUGCGGCUCAACCGCAAGCGGUCGUGGGAAACUGGGUGGCUAGAGUGCGGGAGAGGAGAGUGGAAUUCCUGGUGUAGCGGUGGAAUGCGCAGAUAUCAGGAAGAACACCAGUGGCGAAGGCGACUUACUGGACACAUAUUGACGCUGAGGUGCGAAAGCGUGGGGAGCAAACAGG
rnacentral:rRNA from 1 species